rnacentral:rRNA from 1 species
GUUGAACGCUGGCGGCAGGCCUAACACAUGCAAGUCGAGCGGCAGCACGGGUACUUGUACCUGGUGGCGAGCGGCGGACGGGUGAGUAAUGCCUAGGAAUCUGCAUGGUAGUGGGGGAUAACGUCCGGAAACGGGCGCUAAUACCGCAUACGUCCUACGGGAGAAAGUGGGGGAUCUUCGGACCUCACGCUAAUAGAUGAGUCUAGGUCGGAUUCGCUUGUUGGUGAGGUAAUGGCUCACCAAGGAGAAGAUCCGUAACUGGUCUGAGAGGAUGAUAAGUCACACUGGAAUUGAGACACGGUCCAGACUCGUACGGGAGGGAGCAGUGAGGAAUAUUGGACAAGGGGCGAAAGCCUAGUCCAGCCAUGCCGCGUGUGGGAAGAAGGUCUUCGGAUUGUAAAGCGCUUUAAGUUGGGAGGAAGGGCAGUUACCUAAUACGUGAUUGUUUUGACGUUACCGACAGAAUAAGCACCGGCUAACUCUGUGCCAGCAGCCGCCGUAA